CGCGUGAGGAACCUGCCUCAAAGAGGGGGACAACAGUUGGAAACGACUGCUAAUACCGCAUAAGCCCACGGGUCGGCAUCGAUCUGAGGGAAAAGGAGCAAUCCGCUUUGAGAUGGCCUCGCGUCCGAUUAGCUAGUUGGUGAGGUAACGGCCCACCAAGGCGACGAUCGGUAGCCGGACUGAGAGGUUGAACGGCCACAUUGGGACUGAGACACGGCCCAGACUCCUACGGGAGGCAGCAGUGGGGAAUAUUGCACAAUGGGGGAAACCCUGAUGCAGCGACGCCGCGUGGAGGAAGAAGGUCUUCGGAUUGUAAACUCCUGUUGUUGAGGAAGAUAAUGACGGUACUCAACAAGGAAGUGACGGCUAACUACGUGCCAGCAGCCGCGGUAAAACGUAGGUCACAAGCGUUGUCCGGAAUUACUGGGUGUAAAGGGAGCGCAGGCGGGAAGACAAGUUGGAAGUGAAAUCUAUGGGCUCAACCCAUAAACUGCUUUCAAAACUGUUUUUCUUGAGUAGUGCAGAGGUAGGCGGAAUUCCCGGUGUAGCGGUGGAAUGCGUAGAUAUCGGGAGGAACACCAGUGGCGAAGGCGGCCUACUGGGCACCAACUGACGCUGAGGCUCGAAAGUGUGGGUAGCAAACA
rnacentral:rRNA from 1 species